CAAUCCAAAGUUUAUGCUGUUCAUCGGAAUUCUCCGUCUCCAUCCAAUCCAAAGUAGACAUCAAUCAUUCAAGUUUAUAUAAAAAGAAAAGCCGAUCAUCGAUGAUCAGAUCGAUAUCUGUAAUGAUCUCCAUCCAUCUGCCGAGUCAUCACACCGGGGUAGUGAUUUACUCUGUUUUUUUUUAAUACGCUCUUCUAAAAAAAGAAUGGUGAUUUGAAUACAAACCAUGGGUGGAUUUAGUUUAUGUUUAUAUUAUUAGGUCGAUAACUUCUGCUGGAUUGGUUUUGGUUUGGUGAAUCUUUUGUUGUUUGUUUUCUAUGUGCAAUUUCGAGUUAUGACUUAACCGCUGCUUCCAUCGUCUAACAUUGAUUUUGUUUGUGUGUGUGUGCAUGUAUGUACGUGUUGAGUUUAUUGUCAAUGCUGGUGAGAUGCAUGAUGACACACUGAGAACCUUACUCCUUCUUCAUGUAUCGAUUUGUGAAUCCAGAUGAACGAGUGUCCACUGAGCUAAAGAAAGCCAUUUUGCAAGCCCCAACAUAUAAGCCGAUGAUGAUCAUCCCAUCUCUACAAUGCUAUGGCCUAUAUAUGCUCUCAGUUUGGUGGCUUCAGUAUUGGUGUAGAGGUUCUUGAGCAAUUACGUCACGGGUACGGUUCCGGCUAUCUUCUAGGAGGUUUGUAAGGUAUACA